rnacentral:rRNA from 1 species
UACGUAGGGGGCUAGCGUUGUCCGGAUUUAUUGGGCGUAAAGAGCGUGUAGGCGGCCAGGUAGGUCUGCUGUGAAAACUCGAGGCUCAACCUCGAGACGUCGGCGGAAACCAUCUGGCUAGAGUCCGGAAGAGGAGAGUGGAAUUCCUGGUGUAGCGGUGAAAUGCGCAGAUAUCAGGAAGAACACCCGUGGCUAAGGCGGCUCUCUAGUACGGUACUGACGCUCAGGCGCGACAGCGUGGGGAUCAAACAGG